UUUCUCCGGGCUUGAGGGCUUUCAUAUUGGAACUCAGUCUAUUACUAUAUCCUUCUUAUUCCUCAUUGUGGUGUAGAGGUAACCCUGAAUUCUUGAAAACCAUGUGAGUGGAAUGGGAGCUCUAGCAAUUUCUACAGAGAUAGAAAAGAUUUGAGUAUGGUCGAGGAGACUUUGCCUGUUAUUGGAGGACCAACCUAGCUUAAGUAUGGAGAGGCACAUUCUCAUACUUGUGGCCAGAAGAAGAUGAAUUUUUUUGACUCAAGAAACAGACAACUGUCCAACCAUUUUUUGAACUAUCCCAUUCCUAUGAUGACUGUAAGUGAAGUGACAGGAAGUGGGACAGAGGUUGCUAAGAUCACAUAAAUGAGCUAAAAAUAUUAACUGUUGACAUACUUAACAUACUUAACUUUGUUCAAGGAUCAACUAAUUGAUAUGCUGUUGAAGGAACUGAAUUAAAUCCAUAUUGACAUUUUUUCUUAUAAAUGAAACCAAAAGACACUAAAGAAGCUCCGUUUGGAGAAGCAGUAUUCUUUUCAACUGAUUUAAGCCAGCUUUUCCUAAGCUCCUGCCUGCUAUGCAUGCAGGAGAUCUAGAGACAAAAUGGAAACAGUCCCUGACCUUUGGGAACUUACAUUUUACUUGGAAAAACAAAGUAAAUGCAAGAUGCAUAAGAAGCAAAUACAAAGGGGGCACUAAUUCCUUUGGAGGUGAAUAAAGAUGUCUUGUAGUAGGUAGUACUUGGACAUUGAAGGGAGCUGGGGGUUCCUAGGGUAGCUAGGUGGUGCCUUGGGUAAGAAUGACAGGCUGGAGUCAGGAAAAUUCAUCUUAAAUCUGACCUCAGAUACUAGCUGUGUGACCCCAGGCAAGUGACAAAUAAAAGCAACUCUGUAGGUUCUACCUGAUGUUCAUCAGAUUAUUAAAGAUGAUAAAGGAAAUGAUAAAUUUUGGAGGGACUUAAAGAGAAUGGACACAUCAGUUCACCAUUGUGAAGGUGUGAAUUGGUCCAGGUAUUCUGGAAAACGAUUUGGAAUUGUGCCCCCAAAGUAACUAAUCUAUGCUUACCUUUUGCCUCAGCUCUCUCACUGCUAGGCCUGUACUUCCCAAAAGAUUAAAGAAACAAGGAAAGGACCAAGAUACACAAAUAUUUAUAGCAGCUUUCCCCCCCUAAAUUGGGGUAUAUUAAUAAUUAAUACAAUAGAAUAUUAUUGUCAUAAGAAAUGAUAAAAGAGAUGGGUUUAGAGGAACCUGAGUAGACUUGUAUGAAUUGAUGCAGGAGGAAGUAUUCAGAACUAGAACAAUUUAUAUAAUAACAGUUUCAUAAAGACAAAUAACUUUGAAAGACUUAAAUUCCAAACAGUGUAAUGAACAAAUAUGAUUCUUGAGGAAUGAUAAUAAUCUAUACCAUCUACCUUAUGUUAGAGAGGUACAUCAAAAUGUAGAAUGAAUGAGACAUAUGUUUUUGGACAUAAGGCAAGAAUUUAUUUUCCUUGAUGAGAUAUAUUUGUUACAAGGAUUUUUUUUGAUGGAGAUACAAGGGAGAGAAAAUAAAUGCUUAUUAACGGAAAAAUAAGAUAAUUUUAGCUGUGUUAAACAGAGGGUAAAAUAGAGAUAUUUUAUGAAAAACUUGAGACUACCUUCCAAGCUAAAUGUGCAUGUACAAAAUGGAGGGUGGAGAAUGUAAAAGACUAGAUUGGAAGGCAUAUUUUGGGAUCAGGAAUUGAAAGUUUGGUCAACAUGGCAGACAUUGGCAUAAAAAUGAAAUUGCCUUUGCUUGAGAAGGAAAUCACUAGUUGUUAAUUGGAGGAUAGAUAAGUUGUCAGAUCACCCAAUUAGAACAAAGAUUAAAAUAAAAUACCAAAGUAAGAGAGAUUGAAGGAGAAUAGAAAAGCUCUUUCCUGAUUAUAGCAGUCUAACUUGACUAGUUAAAAUAAGCUAUUAAUUCUGCAAAGAUAGUAAAUAGACAAAAUUAAAGGCAUUGAUUCUAACAGUCAUUUAAAGUGAUAACCAUUAUUAGGACACCAAGAGAACCAUGUAGCUUGAAACUCUUGCACCCUGUAAAUACUUAAUCUCUUUUCUGCUUGAUCAGAAAACAAAAUAAAGUAUGUGGGAACAAGGACUAUCUUUGCUAAACUUCUGCCUUGCCUGGUUCUUGUACACAGUAAGUGCUUAACAAAUGUUAAUUGACAUGAAACCUACUCAUAAGGAAGUCAAAGGCCAGAAAUCCUUUAGACUGAAAUUUACUUCAUAUAAAAAUUAGGCUCAUUAUGUAAAUUUGAAUGAGGUAAAUAGAAGACUGAAUUGUUUUAUUUUUUUUAAAACCUUUACCUUCUUUCUUAGAAUCAAUAUGGUGUUGGUUCCAAGGCAGAAGAAUGGUAAGGGCUAGACAAUUGGGGUUUAAGUGACUUGUCCAGAGUCACAGGAAGUGUAUACAGCCACAUUUGAACCCAGGACCUUCUGUCUCCAGUCCUGGCUCUCAAUCCACUGAACCACUUAGCUGUGCCCAUGAUUUGUUUGAAGAGAAACUUCACCUAAGCCAGAUAAUUCUAAGGAUAUUUUGCAGAAGAAAGGACAACAAACAGAUGAUAAAUAGGACAGAUGUACUUACAACUUUAUAGUGAUAAGUAUUAAUUAGUGAUAAUGAUAGUGUAUCACAUUUACCCUCUAGGUCAGGGUCCCCAAACUUUUUACACAGGGGGUCAGUUCACUGUCCCUCAGACCGUUGGAGGGCCGGACUAUAAAAAAAACUAUGAACACAUUUGUAUAUGCUGUCUGGGAUAGCGGAGGCUGCAGCACUGGCUGUGAUGGGCCUCUCACACCUUGUACAGGUCCAUCACCACUACCACUAUACUGGGCAGCAGUAUACACCGUGCGGAAUCCCUUCCCCCAGAUCACCGCUCACCAUGCUGAUGUCUUCCACUGUGCAGCCACACAAUCCUUUGCGGUGCCUCGUUCUCAUUCAGUUACUCUCAGAACAAGGUGCCAUGCAAAGGAUUAUGUCACUGGAAAUAGUAUUGUACGUGAGCAAUACCACGCUUUGCGCCACCACCACAUAUAGUGCUCCUCUCACUGACUACCAAUGAAAGAGGUGCCCCUUCCGGAAGUGCAGUGGGGGCUGGAUAAAUGGUGUCAGGGGGCCACAUGUGGCCCAUGGGCCAUAGUUUGGGGACCUCUGCUCUAGGUCUUAGUCCCCAGUAUUGUUUUUUGUCCUUCCUUUUCAGAGGACCAAUGACAUCAUGGAUUGUUAUCUUGUGCAUUAAUUGGCUUUAAGUGAGGUAGAGCUGCAUGAAGUUGGUCCCCUUCCUCUCUUCCAGAGUCAUAGAAGUCUAGUUGGCAAGAGAAAAGUCAGGUUGCAGUGGAUGACCAAGUUCUUAAGUGCUCCACAGCACCUACUUCCACUGCCUUCAUGGUCAUUGGAACAAAUUGUUCUCAUCUGUCCAUUUCUUGUAGCGAAGUCUUCAGUCCCCAGUGUAGUAUGUGAGGAAAUAGUAAUGGUACUUAUAAUUAGGAAAAGCCAUUUAACCUGGUCAAAUACAUCCUGAAGAAAUCUAAGCUAGAUGCACUUGGAUCAGUUUUUAAGCUACUUCAAGGAGAGAAAGGUUUCAUAAGAAUGGAAAUGCCUACAAAUCCUUCUAAAAAAAAAAAGACAACUUGGAAGAUAUGACAUACUGUUGAAUAUACUUCUUUAAUCUUUAUAAAAAUCUUUAUGAGAAUGGCCUAUCCAUGUAGGCUUAAUGAAAAUGUGAAAAGGAAACAGGCAAGCUUUGUUCAUCCAUUUUCUAUAGCAGCCAACACAGAAUUGACUGAAUAGUAUAAAGAAUAUAACAUCCCAUUACAAUCUUCUAUUGAUUUAAAAAAUCUUUUGACUCAUCAAACAGAAGAGUCUUAAAAACUAUCUUUAACCAAAUUAUAAAAGACUGACAAAUGUAACUUUGAUAAUAACUUUAUUCAGUGAUCCAUAGAAUAUUAGCACAAAAUGAAGUGUCAAACUGGGAGUCAUAAACUCCCCAAAGAUGUUUCUCUUUGUUACAGAAGAGGCCUACAUAAAAGAAAGAUUCCUCCUUGAUGUUAAGGUUAUCUAAAACUUCAGAGACUAUCAAAAGAUCUUCUAUUCACAGAUUUCUUUGUAUUGAUUAUAUUGAACCUCAGGACACUACAAAGACUCCCAUGGCAGACAUAGCAAGAUGAAAGAAAUUGGUUUAAUCAUCCAUUCUGAAAUUUUAAAAAAGUGGAAAAUAGCCUAUUGCCAAAAUUAGAAUAUGCAACUAUGGUGAAGUCCAUUAAGAUAAAUUUGGUGUGUAUGGAUGUGUGUGUGUUCAUGUUUGUUGUGUCACUGGCUACUGGUGAUAAAUAUGCUUCUGAGAAUUGGGGUCUCAGCUUACCUUCCAAAUGAUGUAACUGACCUUUAGCAUUCUGAUUAUGUUGGUCCAGAUUGUUUAGGGCCAUAGUUAAGAUGGCAGCAUUAGUGACUGUAGUGCAAAGGCCUCCAGCAUUACCUCUCCUUCUCAUCCUAUUUUUCCAUGCUCCUUUCCUAGAACUUCCCACCCCUGAGGACUUUUUACUUUACCUCACAUAAAAGUUGACUAUACAAGUCAUAUAUUAUGUAAAAAUUAAAAAAAAAGAGUUGUCAUUGUACCAAUGCAGAAGUUACAGACAGAUGGUUCUGUGAAGGAAUAUUAAAUUAUAGGGUUGGAAUAACUUUGUAAACUGUGUUUCUCUAGCAAUAUGUAUAUGUUGGUUGAGUAAGGUAGUGAUAAUGAAAACUAAGCAAAAGCAAAAUAGGGAUUGCGGGAUAAGAGAGUGAACAGAAUUUGUCACUUUUCUGACAGUUUGUGGUUUUUUCUAUUCUCUGCAAACUGUUUAUGUAAUACUGUACUUUUCAUGUUCAGUCAUUCAUUUAUGCUUCAUUGGAUUGCUUCCUAAUUAGCACAAUUCCUAUUGCUCUAGAAUUGACCAUAUGGAUAUUUCUACACAUUAUUUAAUUAAUGUUAGGCAGUAAACCUUAGAGUUUGAAAUACUUUGUCACCAGUGGUGGACAAUCAUCUUUGAAUUCUACAGUAUAUUCAUGGGACCUUUGCUUCUUUUAAUCACAAUCCUCUUGCUAUUUUGUUCUCCUGGGACCUGUGGGCAUUUCUAAGGUCAUUAAAAUUUUUUUUUUACUUUAUUUUUCUUUAUUUAGAAUAUUUUUUCCUAAGGCCAUUUUCCACUCAAAUUGAGCCUUGUGUGUGGGAGGUGGAAAGGCCUUUAAAAGUUGGCCACUGGGGUAGCUGGGUAGCUCAGUGGAUUGAGAGCCAGGCCUAGAGAUAGGAGGUUCUAGGUUCAAAUCUGACCUCAGACACUUCCCAGCUGUGUGACCCUGGGCAAGUCACUUAACCCCCAUUGCCUAGCCCAUACCACUCUUCUGUCUUAGAACCAAUACCCAGUAUUGAUUCUAAGAUGGAAGGUAAGGGUUUAAAAAAAAAAGUUGGCCACUAAUAAAAAAAAUUACUUCAUCAGGUUUUGAGUCAGGUUGAACUGUAUGAAUUAUGAAGUGGCAGGAAUGUGACAGUUUUGUAGGGAGAGUAAGAAUCAGAAGACUUGGAUUCCUGUUUCAGCCUUACUGCUCAGUAGUGUCAUCACUAUAUUUCUGUCCUUAUCCAUAAAAUGUAGGUAAAAACCAAUAUUGAUUAUCCACAGAAUUUGUUUCCAAGUAUGAAGUGGGGAGCCAGGUGGUGAAGUGGAUAGAGUGCCAGGCUUGGAGUCAAGAAGACUCAUCUUCCUUAGUUCAAAUCCAGCUUCAGAAACUUACUAGUCAUGUGACCUUGGGCAAGUCACUUACCACUUCUUGCCUCAGUUUCCUCAUUAAUAAAGUGAGCUAGAGAAGGAGAUGGCAAACCAUGUUAGUACCUAUGCCAAGAAAAUCCCAGAUUUGGGUCCCAAAGUUGGAUAGCACUGAAAAUGACUCUACAACAACAAAUCUUUUAAGUGCUAUAUAGAUAUGAAUUAUUCUUGUUAUAAGACUGUGUUGGCAAACCUAUGGCAUGCAUGCUGGAAGGGGUUGCUCCCCUUCCCCUCUCCAUGUGCCUGAGGGCAUUUCUCAUAUGACCUACACCUCUGCCCAGCAGCCCAAUGGGAACGCUUCCUCCCUCCUCUGUCUGGGGUGGGGGUGGGGGUGGGGGUGGGGGAGGCACAUCACCAUGCCAUGUGAGAGUUGCAGUUUGGGCACUUGGUCUCUCAGGUCUCUAAAAGGUUUGCCAUCACUGGUAUAAAAAGUCAUCAUCAAAUGGUUCUUGAAAACUCUGAUGGAGUCAUAUGUCUGCCUUAAUCUAUAGGCUCUAGGGAAGUGCUGCUAUAAUUACCCAUUACUUAUUAUUCUACUGCUUAUUAGAAGUAGGCAGUACCAGCUUAUUCAAAUGAACUAGUUUGUAAGUGAUGGAACUAUCAGUGUUGAAAUUCAUUUUGUUUUAAAGCCUAGGAUAACCCUAGAACUUUUAGGGACCUUUAUUAUAGCCCUGAGUGUAUUUGUAAUAAACUAGGCAAGUUUAAAGAACAUCUAUAGUAUGCUUUCUGGGGCUACUCCCUCAACUCUUACAUUGUAUGACCAGUCCUUUCCUAGAGGGUAGAUACCAAUAUCUUAGGGUUCUAGGGGUAACUUAGAGGGCCCAGAUUUCUAAUAGUGCCCGUUACAAGCCCCAACUGGUAUGUUUUCCAUUAAAAAUCAUACUGGCCACAUUUAAGUAACUUAUAUAAAAGGUAUUUACUAAACAGGUGUAAUAAAACAGUUGUUAUAAAAUAUUCUGCUUGCCUCUCCCCCGUCUCAAACCAGGGGCACGUUCCCCCCCCCCACCCCCCAAACAAGAAGUAUCUGAGGAUAAUGGUUUCAUACUUAAAGUACAAAGGUCAUGAAGCACAUGUGUAGACAACAGAAGUAUGAGUCCUUCACAACUGCUGGUGACUAGCAGCUCUCUUUCCCAGAGACAGCUAGGUGGCAUAAUUGACAGAGCACUAGAUCUGAAGUCAAGAAGACCAGAGUUCUAAUAUACCCGUAGACAUUUAGUUCCUAUGUUACCCUGGGCAAAUCAUUUAACCUCUGCUUCAGUUUUCUUUACUGUAAAAUGGGGAUAACAAUAGCCCCUGCCAUGUAGUAGCCACUUAAUAAAUGCUUUGUCCCCCCCACCUCCAUCAGGUAUACCUCUUUUGAGCCUAAGAGAGUUGAGGGAAAAUCCUAAUUGAACUUGAAACUUGUAGAAUUUUCUAGAAUGAACCUCUUCUCUUUUCUUUUUAAUAAAUCUCCUCGUAACUACUCAUUGUGAGUUUUUAGAACUGGUUUGGACUUGGAGCAGAAUCCCAAGUUUCAAUGAGUUUGUUCAUCCAAACUUACAUUUACAGUAAUUUGUUGAAUUCCUGAGAUUUGUGGGUGUAAGCCCUACUAUACCUUAUGACUGAUUUUUCUUUUGGAGAAACAAUUUUGAUUCUGAACUUAAAGUUUGGUUUAUUUUUUUAAACCCUUACCUUCCAUCUUAGAAUCAAUACUGUGCAUUGGUUCCAAGGCAGAAGAGCAUAAGAGCUGGGCAUUGGGGAUUAAGUGACUCGCCCAGGGUCACACAGUUAGGAAAUGCCUGAGGUUAGAUUUGAGCCCAGGACCUCUAAUCUCUAGGCCUGGCUCUCAAUCCACUGAGCCACCUAGUUGCCCCUUAAACAAUUUUUAAAAACGCAUUUCCAUAUAUGAAGCAGAACACAAUUGUAUAUGAUACCAUGAAAUCUCUAUUUCAUGCCACUUUUCUUUCUUUUUUUUUUUUUAAUAACCCUUACCUUCUGUCUUGGAGUCAAUACUGGGUAUUGGCUCCAAGGCAGAAGAGUGGUAAGGGCUAGGCAAUGGGGGUCAAGUGACUUGCCCAGGGUCACACAGCUGGGAAGUGUCUGAGGCCAGAUUUGAACCUAGGACCUCCCAUCUCUAGGCCUGGCUCUCAAUCCACUGAGCUACCCAGCUGCCCCCUCAUGCCACUUUUCUUUAAAGUAUAUAUAUUAUGUGUAUGUAUACAUAUAUAAUGUAUGUAAUUCUGCCAUUAAUUUAAAAACUUUGAUGUUUCUUCUUUUUUUUCUAACUUCCUUCUGCUUUGCAUUAAAAAAAGUUACAGUGGUCCUUUUUUUUGGGGGGGGGCAAGGGUUUUCUCACUAAAAUGCAUACCUUGGAUAUGGGAUAUCCACUAGUCUGCAACUUAGCAGGCAUAACAAAGUGCUCAGGCCAGAUGGUUUGGUAUUCUUAGUUGUCUUUGACAGCCUCUUGAGAACUACCAGAGGCCAUACCCCAGAUGUUUCUUUGCUGGAUGUUUGGGAAUGUAGAUCACAGGCCAUAGUAGGGGAGGCAGGUUUGUUAUCAAAGUUGUCUUUAGUAGCUGGGUGUGUCACUUUGUUUCAUGCAUCCUGACUAUUGUUCCCAGAAGAAUUUGGCAAACAUAGAUAUACCCAAGCACAGGCAUGUUAUAUUAAAAAUGAGACAGCUUUGCACUAAUCCUUUAAAAACUUCCAGAAGACACUCAACAUUUAGACUUUGAAUUUAGGCAUUGCAGUCAGAUGGUCAUAUGAAUUCACACUGAAGCACUGACAUUUUUAGUAUUUGUGUAGAUAAGAUUAAAUUUUUGUAUGUAUUUUUGAACUUAAAAAUCCUCAACAAAGAUAAUCAAAUAUAUAAACAAGAAAAAGAAUUGUGUAAGAAACUGAACUAUUAUGCAUAGCUUGCUUUUUAACGAUUAGUCUAGUGUUUAGUUAAAGGUCUAGUGUUUAGAAAGCUGAGCCUGGAGUCAGGAAGACCUCAAUUCAAAUCUUGCCUCAUACUGUUAUUACUAGUUUUGAACCUGGACAAGGUAUUUAACCUUUGUUUUACUUCAAUUUCCUUUUCUAUAAAAUGAGAAUGAUAAUAAUGGCAACUACGUCUUAGGGUUGUUGUGAAGAUCAAAUGUUAUAAUAAUUGUAAAGCACUUAACACGGUUUCUGGAAUAUAGUAAGUGCUAUAUACAUGUUACCUAUUAUGGUUAUUAUAAUUAUAUUAAAAUUGAAUACGGUAGUAACUUCAUUGUUCCAUUUGAUUGUGCCCUUCUCUGUGCAUCUUUUUGUUUUCUCCUAUGAAUUCUUAGAAAAUGAUUUGAUUAUGUUUUUUAUAUACCUUUCACUAUCCCCACCCAGUAGAAGCUUUCAUUUGUAACAAAUUAGAUAAGAAAAUUAUUCUGCAAUAUUUUGACAUAAUUGGCUUGUUGCAAAUAAAAAUAAUAACAGCUAGCAUUUGUAUAGAACUUUAAAGUUUUCAAAGUGCUUUUAAUAUAUAUUAUCUCAUUUCAUCUUCACAAUUCAUUCUGAAGUAUAGGGGCUAUUAUCCCCAUUUUCAGACUAGGAACCUGAGGGAGACUGAAGCUAAAUGACUUGCCCCAAAUCAUAGAGCUAGUUAGCAUUGGAGGCAAAAUCUAGACUCAAAUCUUUCUCAUUCCACUUGCCUACCCUGGUGACAAAGCUGUGACCCUUUGGUAUUAUCCUUCCUCCCCUUUCUCCCUACUUUUUGGUGUUGUGGAUAGUGCUGUAUUUGCAGUCAGGAAGUCAAAUCUUGACCCUGGUUCAUUAUGUGUGUGACAAAGGGAAGAUCACUUAACCUCCAUUUCCUUAUUGUAAUAUACUUACAUUAAUUACCUUAAAAGUAUUGUUCAGAGGUUCAAAGGAGAUAAUAUAUGUGAAGUACUUGGCGAACUUUUAAAGUACUUAUAUGAAGGUCAUUCAUGAUAGUGUUGGUCUAGAGCUGUGAUUGUUAGGAAACUUCCUCCAAUAAAUAUAGGUGGUACAAUUUUUUGUUUUACCAGUUAUCUGAGUCUCUGGGAGAUAAGAGACUUGCCUAGGUGAAAUAAAUGGUAGGGAUUUGGGGAUGGGAUUGGAUGUUAUUUAGGCUGGUAUCAGAAGAGUAACCUGGUUUUGGGAAGGCCACCCAAGCCCUGUGCAGAGCCAGACCCUGAGAUAAGACACAUAAAGAACCCUAUGUUAUAAAACAACUGCUGUUGAAUAAAAUAGGGACAGGUUAGAAGGAAUUUGGAUAUAACUUACUCUAAUAAUAACUCCCUAUACCUCCCCAGAUCUACAAAUCUCUUCACAGAGAUUGCUUCUGAGUGUUUCCCUACUCUACUCCUAUACUCCCUAUAUAACCCCAAAUUACUGUACUCAGCUAACACUAAAUCCCCCUUUUGAUGAUCCUUAAGGAAAAGGUCUGUGUGCAAGUCUCCCAGGGUCCAAGGAUGGUCUCAUGAUCAGCUGUCAGGUGUCACAAGAGCAGCACAGGAAUUCAGCAGAUAUAAAAUAGCCAAUAGGGUAACAGGAUAAUCCAAACAGCAGGUAGGAUGUGAAGAUCUGGCACUCAAAUGCCACAGGGAACAAUCUAAUCUCCUCAGGUCCACCCAGAGAGAGAAAAGCCACAGCCCCCAGGCUCAACUGUCUCUUUCCAAGAGUAGCUGCUUUACUUCAGAAUUCCAGAACUCUGAACUCUGCUGUCCAUCUGCAAACACACACUUAAACUUUUCCUGUAACAGAGGGUAACAUGACCCUAUGUGGCAGGCAGAGAUAGUAUUUGAACCCAGGACUGCCUCUCUACCCAUUUUCCCAUACUUCCUCUUCAUGGUAGCAUUAUUAUUCUAUUAACUCAAUUUAUGUGAGAUUUCCUUGUUUUGGUGGCCAUUUUGGAGGCAAAUCAGUCUUAGGAGUUUCUUGCCCACAUUUUUCCAUUCAUUCUUGGGAAUAGUUGAAGGGUGAUGGGAUUUGAACUCUGCCAUAGAUAUGAGCAAUCAGCUCAAUCAAUCAAUAAAGAUUUACUAAGUGCCUAUUAUGUACUAGGCCCUGUGCUAAGUAAAGGAAUACAAAAAGACAGUGCUUGCCUUCAAGGAACUUAAAAUCUAAUGAAAGCAUGUUUGUUAGUGCUUCUUCCCUUCUCUUUUAUGAAGCUGUUUUUUAGGUAGAAGAGUUAUUUGAUUGCAUGAUUAUAUUAAGUAAUCUUCCAAUUUAGAAAUUUAUGAUUUCUGACUGGAAGUUUGUUGCAUUUACUAAACUAUGCUAAUUCAAUAGAUACCACCAGUUAGCCAGAUCUCUUUUAUAUAUCCCUAUAUUUCUGUUCAUUGAGCUGUCUCUGGUAGGGGAGAUACUUUGAAGAUACCACAUAGACAAGCUUUGCAGGAUUACAUUUGGAAAAGAAGAAUGCCUUUGAAGAUAUGAAACUAUGCAAAGUUUAUCAGUCUAGAAGAAAGGAAAGAUAAGAGACUCAUUUCCUGACCUUGGGGUAAAGGAUUCAUAUGCAGACUGGGACACACAUUUUUGAACAUGGCCAAUAAAGUAAUUUAUUUUGUGCAUUUUUUUUACAAGAAUUCUGUUUUUCUUUUUUCCUCAAUUGGAAGUGGAGAGGGAGAAAAAUAAAUGUAUGUAAUUUGAAAAGAAAAUUUAAUUUAAUAAAAGGGAAAGAAUAGGUUAAUGAUUAUAAAGUUAUUUUUAUUCCUCUACCACGUAAUGUCAUUGCUCUAAUGGAGAAAUGACUAGGCUACAGGAGUCAAGCCCUAAAGGCCUGUCACAACUCCACUACUUAUUUGCUGGGAUGACCUUGGAGAAAUUAAUUAACCUCUAACCUAGGUUUUCUUCCAAGAAUUCCAAAGUAUUUGAAUGGGAAGGGACUUAACUUCAAUACUUCCAUAGAUCCAUGAUCUUAUCUAGGAAGGCCGCUCCUUCCUUUAUGUAGUUUUCCACCUGCAUGAUUUCAUCUAUAAUUUUUCAUUCUGUCCCAUUUUUGCCCCCAUCUUGUAGUAAAUUCUUCAAAGAGGAUCUACUCAAAUCAUUGGAGACUUUCCUCUGAAUCUUUACAGAUUUUCAAUAUGCAAUUGGUGGAACUCAGAAGACAGGUUUGAGCUGGAUAUAUGUGUGAAUAUAGAGUAUAAUGGAAGAAGAGAAGGGGCCUAGGAUAAAACCUUGUGGACAAAACUAACAUUUAGGGGGCAGGAUAUGGAAUGAUGAGUCAGCAAAGGAGACUGGCGAAUAAGGGAAGAAGUGUCACAAAAAAAAUGAGGAGAGAAUAAUUAACAGUGUCAAAGGUUGAGAACUGAGAAAAAACCAUUAGAUUUUUGUAAUUAAUUUUUUGCAUUAAUAAUUUUUGGAAACUUUAGUUGACAGUGAUGAUAUCAGAAACCAGAUUACCAAGUAUCUAGUGAGUAAGAAGGAAUGAUAUGGUGGUAAGUACAGAUCUGGCCUUUUUAAGAAGGUUGAAAAAGGGAGGAGAGAUGUAGUAUUUCAAGGGAUGGUAAUCUAUUAAAUUUAUUUAAAUAUUAGGAGAGACUUGGAUAUGUUUGAAGACAGUAGAAAAGAUCAAAUGUACAUGAAGAAGGGUUAGUCUUGACAAAGAGAAGGGCCACCUCUUUUCAGAGAUUGAUGAAAAGGUUGAGAGCUGGAUAUUAUGUGUAAAGAUUAAAAUUUAGGGGAGAUGGGGAGACUGAGGCAGGUAGAAAUUAGUUUCUCUCUGCAAGAAGUAUUAUAUUUUUUAGAGGUUUGUUAAAGGUUAAAGAUUAAAGAAUAUACAAGUAAGAAACAUGUGCCUAGGCCAGAGGCCUAGACAAAAUAACCUCACAUCACGCAAGAGACGCUCCUGCUGCAAAAUGGAAGUCCAAAAGACCCAAGAGAGAGACUCUCAAAAGCCUUUGAAUCAGCUUAAAUACCUUCUCGAUCUCGGCCCAGGUGAGAUUACAAGGCAUUCUGGGGAAGUGGAGCAAAGGCUCAUGGGGAUUGUAGUCCUGUAUUCGAGUCUAUUUUUUACAUUAUCCCCGUAUGAUCAUUUUUGGAAAAAUUAAUUUCCCCCAAAAGGAUCAUAAAAACAUAAUAAACAUAAAAGAUUACAAUAGUGUGAGGAUAAGAGAAAAAAGAAUAAAACCAAUAAUUGCUGAACACAUUGACAAAAAGCCGUUAGGGGGAAGUCCCCUUUGGCAUAAAAGUAUACAUACAAAUAAAUGUUCAAUCAACCAUACCCAAAGUUCAAUUUUGUGCAACUUGUGGUCUGGAGGCUUCUUCAUGGUGGCUUCUCCAACAGUUCAGUUCUGGAUUCAGAGAGGUAGCAUCUUCUUUACCUAAAAUUCUUCUCAAAAGGAAUUUAAACUUUGCAAUUUAAAUAAUGAUUUUUUUUAUAUUCCCCUGUGUUGUGGGUGAUUGAAAGAUUCAGAAUCAGUUAGGGAUGCAUGGCUGAAGUAUGAGGUAUAUGAAUCAAUUGGCAAGAGAUAUUAAAAAGACAUCAGAAAAUCCAAAAGAAAAGAAAAAUUUCUGGAUGAAAAGAUAGACUAUCAAAGUCUUAUGUGUAAAAAUUCCAAGUAGAAGAAAAAUAAAUCUAUAACAGGUCCUUCAAUCAGGGCCCAAUCAAAAUGAUCUAAGUAAUGAUGCAUUUACCCAGUCAGUAGCCAGGACUACAGAAAGGUACCACACUAUGAGAGGCAGAAAAGGGGACCAGAUUAUAGGAGCCAAGGUUUCGGGGAUUCUCGUCUGUGAGUAUCUUCAGAGUGAGUGUGGAUACAAGGAAAGCCUAUGUCUUAACACAUGUUAAACAUAGUAACCUCGAGUCUUCACACUAGGUUCAAGACCUUUGUAUUGGCCUAGAAGUGCAUCAAUCCAUCCUAGAUUGGCCUUUCUUUGGCCCUAUGAAAUGGCUCUUGUGUGUAUCUCUUGUCCUGAAAUCAGACAGAAUCAUUAAGCAAAGUCCCGUAAUUUAUUUAAAUAAUUAGUGGCAUCAUUUUUAUAGUCACAAGCCUUUUGGGCAUGCUCUGACAAAUGUAUCUUACACUUGUAGUACUGAAAAAUCAAAAGGUUAAAGAAAAUCUUAAUUCUGGUGACAUGUGCUUCAAAUAUAAAAAGGAGAGAAAAAAUAAUAAAAAAAACUGAGUAGAAGGCAAAUGAAUUGAACAAGGUUAACAAUUUUUUCAUCUUUAAAAAUACAGUAGUACAAAUAUGUAGAUAUCAAAAUCCCCAAAAUUCUCAAAAGCCCAAUUAAUUACAAUAGCAAACAAACACACUUUCAUAUUUCACAUAAGUUGCUGUAUGACAUUUUUAAAACCUAUGAAUUGAUGGACAUUUGUCACAAUUUUUACAAACAUAGCAAUCCUUCAACCUUGGUAUUUAAACAUAUUUUUUAAAACAAAGUAAAACUCAUCUUGGGUUUAGAACAUAAUCAAGAAAUCUAUAUAUCAUUCUGGUAGAAGUAAAAUAGUGAGCUGAAGAGCAUAAAUAAAGGGGUGCUCCUUUUUCUUGGAGGCUUAUAGGGAUACAAAUGCCCUGAGAUUAACUGCCCAACUUCCAUUCACAUGUGGGAAGGUUGGGGGUUUAUAAAAUGUAUUUCACUUCAGCUAAUGGGCCUUACCUCGUGGUAGGGGCAGGCAAAAAUAACCAGAUUGUUAAAAAAAAAUUCCAAAAAUCAUAUUUAAAAAACCUUUAAAAUGAAAUCAUUUGAGGUAUUUAGCACAUUAAAAUUCCAAAGGUUGUUAAUACAAUUAUAACCAGUUCUGAAGUCCAUCUAUCCUCAGCAAAAUAGAAAAAAGCUGUUUUUUUAUAUAUGGGCUUAUUCACAAUAAUAUUUGUUCAACACAGUUAUAGGGGAAAAACAACAGAAUUUCAAAACUCAGUACAUUCAAAAUAAAUUCAAUCAACCUUCAGUUCAAGCAGAAUAAUAUUGAAUCCAGUAAUAUAUGAACUUAAAAUCACAAAGUUAAACCUUAAACAAAAAAUGCAAUAGAAUACAGAGAUUUUUAUAAACCAUUGGAGUCUGAAAUGCCUUAGAAUAUAGCCUUUAGUCUCUUCAAAGUUCCUUGGGUUCUUAUCCAUUUAAAUGUCUAUUGUCUGAAGGCAGAGUAGUAAGAGCUAGGCAAUGGGUUUCAAGGGACCCGUCCAGGGCCCCAUAGCUGGGAAGUAUCUGAGGCCAGAUUUUAACCCAGGACCAUGCUCUCAGUUCCCUGAGCCACCCAUUUUCAAAUUCAAAGUUGAAUCUUUGGGCUGAAUGUUUCUUCUGGCACGCAGGUGAAAUCAAUGAAAUUACCAGAACAGUCAAAAAUCCUUUUAAACAGCCCAUUGCUUUUUAAGUUUCUGUUUGAAAAAAUCUGUUUCUUCUCCUCUCCCUUUUCUCUCUCCCCUGAUAUGAUCCCCCUGUGGCCAAUACCCCCAUCCACGUGGAGGCUUAGCCUAAAGGAAAAUUACCGGGUCUCCUUUCCCUCUCUUCUCUCCCCUCUGCCCACCUGGCCAAUACUGUUACCAGCUGGUCACAAUGAGUCCUCAGCAAUCUGCUCCAAGGAUCUGGGUGAUGAGCCGGCUGGGUCGGAGGCCAGAUGGGUGAGAGACAGACCGCCAGGGUGGGUUGGGCCGGGAGCUGGAGCACAGCUCAGGCACCAGGUGAGAGGCCAGGAGCAGAAGCAGGAGCCGAAGAGGGCCACAGGCAGGAGAUGAUCAAGACGGUUUUCUAAAGAGUAUCUCGGAGAACCUUGGCUUUAAAAAAAAUUCUCUAGGCUAAAAAAAUUUUGAGAAGUUCUCAUCCAAUCUAGUGGUCGCCAUCUGUAAAGAUUAAAAUUUAGGGGAGAUGGGGAGACUGAGGCAGGUAGAAAUUAGUUUCUCUCUGCAAGAAGUAUUAUAUUUUUUAGAGGUUUGUUAAAGGUUAAAGAUUAAAGAAUAUACAAGUAAGAAACAUGUGCCUAGGCCAGAGGCCUAGACAAAAUAACCUCACAUCACGCAAGAGACGCUCCUGCUGCAAAAUGGAAGUCCAAAAGACCCAAGAGAGAGACUCUCAAAAGCCUUUGAAUCAGCUUAAAUACCUUCUCGAUCUCGGCCCAGGUGAGAUUACAAGGCAUUCUGGGGAAGUGGAGCAAAGGCUCAUGGGGAUUGUAGUCCUGUAUUCGAGUCUAUUUUUUACAUAUGUUUGGGAGUUUUGAGAUGAAGAGAUAGGGAGAAGAGUGAAUUCAUGUCAGAUGACCUUAGUUUUUUCAGUAAAAUAAGAGACAGGGUCCUUCAGUGAGAUGUAGGUGUAGGGAUAGGUUUAGGGAGGAAAUAAGGUUUGGAAUAGCUUUAUUAGGGAGUGAGAUUGGGAAUGAAUUAGGAAGGAAAAAAAGAACUGUUUUGCUAUAGCCUAAGCCCAGUUUUGAGGUCGUAUAUUUUUAAUAUAUCUAAUUAGGACAGUUGUGUUACCUCCUUUUCAGUUCAGCCGUUCAUGUGUUGGAUCAAAGAAGACAUUUAUAUAGUGAAAGUCAUCUAGAAUUGAGGUUUGGGUUAUGGACAGUGUAGAGUUGAAAUAGCCAAUAAUGGAGUCAAGAUUGAAAAGGAAAGAAAACUGAAAUGAGUGAUUAGGAGGUUCUCACUUAGAAGAAGUGAGGCAUGGGGAGUGAUGGAAUGAUAGGAGGUUAUAGUCAGAUGGGGAAAUGUCAGAGUUUCUAAUAAGGAAAUGGAACAUUAGUGAGAUGUAGUGUGUGACCAUCCCUGUGUGUGACUAAGGUGAAGUAAAGGAAUAGUUUAUGGAAACUGAAAUGAAAAGCAUCUUUUAACACCUAGCUUUUGUUGGAACAUCUCUAGCAAAAGGGAAUUCUUUUUUUUUAUACUAUCGGGCUUAAGUUUAAACUCCUUAUAACUUGUAUAUUGCUUUUACUCUAGAUAAAACAGAAACAGUGAGUGGUAUUUUAACUUGUCUCACACUUUAUAGAAUCAAGAUUCUAGGCCUUUUUAUUUUGUUUUGUUCUGAAACUUGGCAUUCCUGUGGAGGACUGUAGGCAGACUAGGUAACUGCUGUCCUGAAAGACUGGGAAAUUCUUUCCCAUAGAAAACCAUCUUGCCUCUAGGCAUAACAAUGGAAAACACCUGCUCAACUUGAUGCAAUUAAUUAUCCUAUUAAUAUAUUACCUUUCCUCACAAUAUUCCAAUCAUAACUCAGUUGCUCUGCCCCUCCAACUACUCUGUGCUUCCCUCAUUUGUCUUCCCACUCUGUACCAUCUCAUUUAUCUUUUUGUCUUCUUAAUCCAGUAUGAGAAAUUAUAAAAUAUUCAGUUUUUGUCCAGCUCAGCUUGGAGAAGAACUCUUCUAUGUUAAUAGAUUAGUGUAAUCGUAGUCUGAAAAGUAUAGUUACUUGGUCAUUCAUCAAAGCCAGCAUUUGAAGUUGCAAAGAAAAUUUCUCCCCUUUCCUCUAUUCCCAACACAAAUUCUGGAGGAAAUUGAAUGAUGGGAGGAAAGUACCUCAACCUACUCAGAAAAACUAAUUAAUUUGAUUUGAAAUACAUCUCCCCCUCAACUCAGCUGAUAUAAAAGAUUAUUUUGCACUGACAGCCACAUAAUCUAAGAACCAAUGUAAUUAGUUUUAGAUGAUGAGCAGAUAAGGGCAAUGGGUGAGCAGUUAAGGGUAAUAUUCGUAUUAUUUAUUCAUGAUACUAGUUACCUGCCAGGAUCUGAUAAUAUACUGUAAUCCAGUUACACUUGAAAAUUAAAAUGUAGGAAUACCCUCCUUUCAUCAGAAAAUACUUUAUAGUAAAUUCCCUUUCAUAAUAGAAGUAACCUUUUUUUUUAAACCCUUUCUUUCUGCCUUAGAAUCUAUACUACCAAUCUCAGUAGUUAUGUUUCAGAGAUGCCCACAAUAGGUAAAAAUCUGGAAAGUAGCAGCAUUCACUGCCAGAAGCCUUAGAAGGUGCAGAAUGUUUGGGGUGGCAUAGGGCUUGAAAUAAAUUUAUGAAAACUUCACAAAAACAACACCACAGAGCAACACUUGGCUCAGUGAGUGAUCAGAUAGUGAUAUGAAGUGGACAAGGAGAGAUGCUGAACAAUGCACACAGGGCAGGAGAGCUAACAGACCGAUGCAACAAUCACUGAGCCAAUCAGAGCUCAGGAUACAGAACACAGUGCUGUGGUUGGUUGCCUUUCAUUACAUCAGCCAUUAGUGUGACGUGUACAAUCUCAUGAUGGCAAAUAGUAGUAAGAUAUUAAUCUGCAAAAUCUGGCUAUAUAGUGAAAACCCAUGAUAUAGUGAAGCCCUGAUAAGUGAACUGCAAUAUUGUGAGGGACAAUAUAGUAUUGGUUCCAAGACAAAAGAGUGGUAAGGGCUAGGCAAUGGGGGUUAAGUGGCUUGCCUAGUGUCACACAGCUAAGAACUGUCUUAAAUUCAGAUUUGAAUCUAGGGCCUCCCAUCUAUCUCUAGGCCUGGCUCUCUAUCCACUGAGCACCCAGCUGCCUCCAACCUUUCUUCUUUUUGUAGCAAAGUUUGUCUUUUUUGUUUCAGUGAAUCUUCAACAGGAAAGUCUCAGUAUGCUAAUAGAUAUGCAUAUAUUUGUGGGUAGGACAGAUAAUAACUUUAUUUUGCUUUUUUAAAAACGUUACUGCAACACCAAUUACAAAGUCAGCAAUCAGUGCUAGAAAGAGUAGUUAAUUGAUUUUCCCCUCCCCAUUGCUUACUUUCAUUUAGCAUAAUCAGUUUAUUUUUUUCCCUAAUUAGACUUUUACUGCUGUCUCCAUUUAUAGGAAGGGCAAAGUGCAUCUAAAUGAUCAGAUGUAAUCAUUCUUCACCCCUUAACCUUUCUUGAAUCUGAUCUUUUUUUCUGCACUUAUGUGGCUACUACCCUAGUUGGGUCCCUCAUCUCUUCUUACUUGAAUUACUGAAGUAGAAUCCUAAUAGAGCUCUUUUUAUCCAUUUCCUUUCCUCUCCAGUUCAUCUAUCCUCUACAUAGCUGCCAAAGUAAUUUUUCUAAAACAUAGAUUUGACCAUUGUUAUUUACCUUAUUUAAAAUCCCCAAUGUAUCCUCUAGGACAAAAUAUAAAUUUUUCACCCUGGCAUUCAAAAUCCUUUACCAUCUGGUUCCCACAAACUUUUUGAGACUUAUUUCACAAUACUGCUCUACAAACACCAUAUGUUCCAGCUGAACUAGCCUGCUAGCUGCUUCCUGAGCUUAGCAUUCCAUCUAGAGUCUUCGUGCUGUUUCCCAAGUCUUCCCCAAUACCCUCCUCUCACAGCAUGCAUUCAUUCUGCCUUCACUUCUGACUCUUGCUUGUGUCCUCUGAUUCUUCAAGGCUCAGUUCUGGUGUUCUGAGUUAAUAAAGUUCUAAAUUUAGCUUAAUAAAUAUUGCUUGCUUGAUUGGGGUCACUUUCUGAACAAAAUCUUUAAUGAUUUCCCAGUUAUAUUGUUCUCUCCUUCCUAAAAUUACUUUUUUAAUUGACCUACCCUGUAUUCAUAUUCCCCUUCCCUUCUCCCCUUCCCCCUCUCCCCCCAAUGUAUGUAUCAGAGUGGAGAAUUUGAUCUCAAGUGUUCUUGACUCCAAGGCCAACUGUGCCAUACUGUCUGCAUUGGUAGAGAAAGUUUCCUUCCUUCCUUCCUUCCUUCCUUCCUUCCUUCCUUCCUUCCUUCCUUCCUUCCUUCCUUCCUUCCUUCCUUCCUUCCUUCCUUCCUUCCUUCCUUCCUUCCUUCCUUCCUUCCUUCCUUCCUUCCUUCCUUCCUUCCUUCCUUCCUUCCUUCCUUCCUUCCUUCCUUCCUUCCUUCCUUCCUUCCUUCCUUCCUCUCUUCCUCUCUUCCUCUCUUCCUCUCUUCCUCUCUUCCUCCCUUCCUCCUUCCCUUCCUCCCUCCCUCUCUCCCUCUCUCUCUCUCUCUCUCCAGAUAUGGAGGAGACUCCAGUAAAGGUGGAGUCAUAUUGGCCAAUCUGAUAGGGGUGAAGUGGUACUUUAGAGUUGUUUUGAUUUGCAUUCAUCUAAUCAAGAGUGAUUUGGUACAUCUUUUCAUAUGAUUAUUGAUAGCAUUGAUUUCUCCAUAUGAAAACUGCUUUUUCCAUUUGUCAGUUGGGGAAUGGCUGGAAUUCUUAUAACUUAGUUCUCAAUAUAUUUGAGAAAUGAGAUCUUUAUCAUAAAUCUGUUAUAAAAAUUUUGACCAGUUUGUUGUUUCCAUUCUAACCUUGGUUACAAUGGUUUUGCAUAAGAAAAUUUAUUUAAAUUUCAUAUAGUCAAAGUUAUUUUACAUCUUAUAAUGUUUUUCUAUCCCUUGUUUGGUCAUAAAUUCUUCCUUUCUUCAUAUAUCUGCCAGAUAAACUAUUCUAUGUUCCCUAAUUUCUUUAUGGUAUCACCCUUUAUGUCCAAAUCAUAUAUCCAUUUUGACCUUAUCUUGAUAUAAGGUGUGAGAUAUUGGUUCAAAGUUUCUUUCACCAAAGUUCCCCAUACUGAUGAAAUUCCAGGCCUAGAAAAAGAUAUCUAAAUAAAAUAAUAACAUCUUGAAGGUCUCAUCUGGCUCCAAAAUUUGAUGAUUCUAAUUUUGCUUGUUUUUUUUGAGGGGAUAGAGGCCCUAUGCAAAUAGAAUUAUAUCUUCUUUGACAUUCUCCCCAAAACAAUCUGACCUUUAGAAAAGAGAGUGGAACAUUGAUUACCUGGAACUAUAUACUGUACUAGACAUAUCUUAUUUGAAUGAUUUUUAACAGGCAAUUAUGUUGCCCCCUUAUUCAAUGGAAGUAGCUCUACCUCUAUGCUAAGCAAAGGCACAGAAAUGUUUAUUAGCUGUAAAUGCACUAGAAAGUGUUUUCACUGUACUGGAUGUCAAAUCUUUCUUGUAAAUGAUUUCAGGGUUCUCAAAGUUCCAGGGAUCUAGAGAAUAAAGUUUUGGGUUUUUUAAACCCAUUAUUGGUUCUAAGGCAGAAGAGCAGUAAGGGCUAGGCAGUGGGUGACUUGCCCAGGCUCAUACAGAUAUGAAGUGGCUGGGGUCAAAUUUGAACCCAGGACCUUCCAUCUCUAGGCCUGGCUCUCAAUCCACUGAGCUACCUAGCUGCUGCCCUAGAGUAAACCAUUUUUAAGUGGGAAGGUUAGGUAUUGAGUAAUGAAGCUUAUUUGCAAUGUAGUACACAUUUUUGGAAAAAAAAACUAAUGGCUGGAAGAACACUUUUAAAUGACAAUUUUUGUGCAUAUAUAUUUGUAUACAAUUUGUUUUUUUGUAAAUAGACCGACUCUGUAGCAUUGGGAGGUAGCAUGGCCUUGGUUGGAGUCAACAGCCCCCUUUCUGAGUCCUAAUGAUAUUGACUAACUGUGAGUAAUCCAUUCAUUGGGGAAUUAGGAGAAAAGUACUUUGUUAACCUUAAAGCUUUCUAUAAAUGUGUUAUUGUUAUAUUAAUGAUUAUAUAAUCAUAAUAGAUAAGGGCCCUGAGGUACAGUAAAAAAAAACCAACAAAAAACUCCACUGAUUUGGUAGCCACAUAAUUUGGGUUUAAAUCUUCACUGUACCAUUUGCUAGUUGUAUAACUUUAGGCAGGAACUUAACCUCUCUGGGCAUCAGUUUACUCAUCUGUAAAAUUAGAUUGAACUAGGUGACCUCUAAACCCUUUCCAGCUCUGGAUUUCUGAUCCUAUGAGCAUUUAGAAGUGUUACUUCAUCUGUGUCUCAUAUACCUAUCCCUGUCUUAUACUAACCUCUCUUGUGACUCCUUAUAACCCUUAGAACAAACACACACCCUUCUCCCUAGAUUCCCCACUCUAGUAUGUCAUAAUCCUUUCUGUUACAACAUUGCUCAACUAGCCCAGCCAAAGUACAUCCACUGCCAUGUGAUAUCAUUAGGGAAACACUUCUCUGAUUGGAAGAGACCAUUAUAGUUGCAUGGGAUGGGAGAAAAAGUGUGGUGCCAUCGGAUUUGCAUAGGAGAAUUCUUUGGUUAUGCAGCUAUGUCCUUCAAUGUCAUCUGCAGUCAUGGCAAACUGAAAAGUUGGUAUGCUUUCUGACAUUCACCUUGAACUGGAACAAAAUUAACAAAGAAGAAUCUGGAUCCCUUUAUGCUUUGCUGUUAGUUGGAGCACAUGACUGGUUACAAAAAACAUUUUCCAUUCACAUGAUUUCCAUUUUGGUGAAAAGAAAGAAAUAAAAAGGGCCCAAAAUCAAUGUAAUUGAUAUGGGAUUAUAAACA